GGAUAUGCAUGUCAGAGCUAGCGCUGUCAUUUUCUCGCUGUGAGGGCUUUCAUCUCGUGGCUGGCUUCCCCCCUCGGCCUGCUUCGCUUGCCGGGCUCUGCCCGUCCCUGGACUGCCAACCGAAACAACGACAUGCUGCAGCCUCUCAGGCUUAUUGCACACACACACACAGAGAGCCCUGGUUCCCGAACUCAAAAUAGUCGUAGCAAUUAACAAAAUUCUGCGGGACAUAGUAAACUAAACGGCACCUCUGUCUGCGGCAGAGAUCUGUUGCAUGGAAGCGCGUCUGCCGCGCUGCAUAUUUAUCAAAGUGACAGCAGGCGUCAGGGAUACGGGGGCUCCAACAUAACCACUUACUCACUAAUGGCUUACACAGCCACGGAUCAUUAUCCCUCACAGCACAGCACAACACAACACAACGCGGCGCUUGCACGGCACCGUGCUGCACAGCACACACACACACACCCCCCUGCGCCAGCGUUGCAUUGGCUCGACUGCGGUGUGAAUUUUUGCAGGUUUAUAUGUGUCUCCGGCAUCAGAAUGGUCACGUGGUUUGUCAGUUUUGAAGUUACAAGUCCUGCUGUGUAUAGAAACUGUACGUGGCCUUUAAAUCUGAAAUGCCGUAGCUGAACAAUUCAUAGUUUUUGUCCGUCACCACUACGGCUCACAACUGCUAGAUCAGACAGGUCAAGAAGUGUAAUUGGUCAGAUGGUCAGUCAGGUUGUAAACAAGCCAACAGUCAGUCAGAUUAUUUAUAUACACCACAAAAAAAACUUUGAAACUCAUUGGAAAGGAAAAACAUGUGCAGCCAUGGACAGUAAGAAUGGUAAAAGUUGAAUCAGGACGUCCAUCUGUGAACUAUUGGGUGUUUACAAGAGACCGUUUUGAGCAAUUAUUUUACCAUUUAGCAAAUGUUCUCAUCCCAAUCCGUUUGGCUAAACGGAGGCUGUGUUUACAGCCUCCUCUGUUUCCUACACGGUCACAUUUCUGUUUGGCACCAUCCCUCUCAUCUCAGUAAUUAACUUGGCGAGUAUGAAGUUGUUACUGAUAGUAAUGUACAAUUUUGUCCCUUCUCAGGUGGAAUUAACAGCGUUAAUGCCAGUUCCACGGCUGUGGUGUUGCUCGUGUGCUCACCCACGGACCCUGUGUACUGGGAUCACCUGCGUACUUCCUGUUUUGACAAGUCGUGAAAAAGGGGAUCCAUGAUCGCCCAAACUACAAAAAUAACAUGUUGUUGUAAACCGGAAUUAUUCACCAUUCCCUUUCAUCCCGACGGUGACAAAUAGAAGCUGUCACUUCAUUGCGGAUGAAAUGCUUCAGGGAAUCCAGCUUCUAAUCCAACACUGUCAAAGCUGUUGUUUGUAUUUACAAUGAGAUAAACAGAUGUAGACCUUUCGUGUUCAAAAUUGCAAACGCAGCACUUUCUGAAUUUUGACGUGUAUGUUGUUUUUUUUUCUUCUUCUGCUAUUUCCCUAUCUAUGCAAAAUGCAUCAAAAAUAUGUUCUUUAUGAUGUGUUGCCCAACACACACGUUUGUUGACGUGAAGAUGACACGAAGCUGUGACUGGUUAGAAGACUAGAAACGACAUGUUUAGUCUCUAGUGAGGACUACGGUCAUUUGUGUGUUUUUUUUGGUUGAAUUUCUUUUUGUGUUUUUGUUUCUUUCGGUUGCCUGUGAGCAAAGUAUUCAAUUACAACAGCAAUAACACUUAAUCCACCCUGACAGCAAAGAACUGUGCUAUUCAUUGGAAACAAGAUGGUGCGCCAUAAAGGUGAUGGAAACCCUUUAUAGCUGCCUGUUCAGCCAUUUCUCUUGGCGGGCAUAAAAAGGCUAAAUAUGUUAGCCAAACUAAACUUGAUCCAUAACAUCAUUAGAGAUGCUUCCGAGUUGUGCCAAGAUGAUUUACAGACCAAAUUAAAAUGUAAUAUUUUGCUCAAGUGUUGCGUUUCCUCUUUGUUGGUCAUCUUUGCGUUUGAAAAGGUGCGAGUGUGUGAAGCAGCCUGCCGUGAACGCCGAAAAUGAGACUGGCCCCAUGAAAGCCUUUUUGAUUCAUUGGAAGAGGUGAUGGACAAAAAGGGUGCGCCAGGUACAUUCGAUUGAUGACGAGGCCGCGGCGACGGGGUUAGAUGUGAAGGGACAUGAAAGACGGAAAAGGGACUUGCAAUGCCCCAUCUGUUUGCUACGGGCGAGGGAAGUAAUGACGGAUUCAUUGUUCACUCAAUUAGAAUUCAAAGAGACAGCGGGGGGAGAGAGAGAGAGAGAGGGAGAGAGAGAGGGAGCCUGGCGUGUUGAAGAGCCCCUGUGAAGAGAGUGUGAUUUCACAGGCCAAGUGUGAAUGGCUAACACGGCUGAGCGAGGGAGGUGAGAGCAGAGCCCGAGGUGACGGAGGCAGAGGAGAUCAGCUGAGGGAGGAGAGAGAGACAGAGACAGAGAGAGACACAGAGAGAGAGAGACUUUCAUGCAGCGGAAACUUUUACAAGAGCCUUUAAAAAAAAAAGAAAUACUGCAAUUUCUUUCUUUCAGUUUUGGGCUCCACUGGACUGCAGUUCCUGUUCCCAAAAAUGUCAUUGUCCUUGAACUUCCCAAUGGCCAGUUAAAUGCUUUUAAUGUGAACUGGCAGCAGGAGGAAAUGUUCCGUUUGCAUUAAGAGCAACUUAAUACGUCCCUGGAAUGAACAGUGAACAGAAGUUUGCCUUAAGGGCUUCUUACUAAAAGGGGUUUAUUUAACCCCAAAACCGUUUUUUUCUAAAAGUAACCAAUAACAUAUGUUUUACCAAUCCUAAGAAGGAUUAUCUGGCAGAAAUCCCUGAAGGUCAAACGUCUCCCAACGUUAAUUGAUCUUGUAAAUGUGAGCAAUUUGAAUCCAGCAUGAGAAGGAAAAACUUGACCAUUGGAAUUUAAGCCAACAAAGUUGAGAGAUCAUUUAAAAAAUAGCUGAAAGAAUACCAACAAAAAGUAGUGUAAUGACAUUUUUUCCCCCAUUGAAAUAAUUUGAAAAAUGGUUUGAGACUCAAACGAGUUCGACAUUUAAACGCAAUUACAGGGAAAACUCUCUAACUAGUCUAAAAGUAAGUCAGACGUAUAGUUUGCUCCUGAAGGAUCGCCAGCCAGCAGAUGAUAACUGUCAUUUUGCAUGUUUGGCAUUUUCAACCUUUCCACAUCUCCCCAAUUUCUGCACAACACGUAUUCAAACAUCCCACUGUUGAACAAUGACAACAAAAGGACUUUUCUGUCUCAUCACCUACCAACACUUAUACACUUAGACAUUUAAAUCAAUGAGCUGCUGUACCCAGACAUACACCCGAGUGUUUCUGAUUUCAUUUAAAGUUACAGUUUCGGGGUCUUGAAGUAUCCGGUCACAGAGGCUCGGCAGUACUCAAGAAGAAGGAAAGAAGAGCGACCCGAGGGAUCGCGGACAAGAGUCGGAGUGACGUGAAAGAAGAAAGAAAGACAGACAAGGACACAGACAACAAUAGACAGGGACACUGGAGAAGGAACGAUGGAGCCACAGUGGGGGUGGUGUCACUCUGCCCCGCCGCCCUUGCAUGAGGCUGAAAGAUCAUCCGUAUCCAUUAGCAACAGAUGAGGAGAAGCACUGGCAUUCUUCAUUCUCUGCACCCAUUCUAUCAUCUGCACUUACGCUUCUUCUCCGCCGCCAUCAAUCCAACAGACAUGAAAUGCACAGUUGAUCAGCUCAAUAUUCCCCCUGUCCACUCACAGCCUCUACGCCAGCAAGAUUUGAGUCCCCACGAUGACUACCAUGGCAACCAAGGUCAAAGUGGACAUGCUUGAUGUGGAUUCAUCUACUGCAGGAGAUCCAGCGCCCUCAUCAAACAUGACCUCCCAGCACGGCCUCCCCCUGUUAUCGCCCGCUCUCCCCUCACUUUCUUCUCUCUCCUCCUCUCCUCUGUCCGUCCUUCUCUGGCUCGCCUUUGUUCUCCUCCACAUCAAGUGAGAGGGACGGAGGGUCGGGACCUGCAGCGGGGAGUGCUGCCGCGAGGAGGCUUUUGAUCAGACGGGGAGCCGAGAAAGGUCGCUGCAGCGGACUGUUAGAGCUCAUCCUCUGCUGCUUCAAGACGUGAACUGUUGCUCGAUCCGUCGGCCACGCGGCGCAGACGAGGAGUGUGCAUUUCAAAGAAAACAGCUUGUUGGUGCAGUUUGCUGUGUUGCUCAUACUAUUAUACUGAUACGCCGGAGCUCUGUUUUCUUUGAUUGUGUCUCCCCUCAUCGCCUCCUCUUUGGUACGUCCUCCAUUUCUGGUCAAAUUUUUCCAAGCGGCCCUCUUGGCUUGUUGAAAUGUUUCUGUUUUGCCAAAGUUUUCUCGGCUAAUAAUUUCUAGGCUAAAUUGUGCAAACGAUGAAAUUGGCUCAUUCCACAGAGGCUAUUUCCAACAAAAUAAAUACACUUUUAGAACUAAACACAUUGAGGAAACACAAUCGGAUUGCACAAUAUUGUGGGAGAACAAACAAUUCUCUGGUGGAGCUUUUUGAGAAAAUAAACGGCGCUUUUUAUUGAUAAAUUGUCUGCUAUUUGAUUCAAUUUUCAAUCCAGAAAUCCCCACGUAUUAUUUAUUCUUGGUUUUGAUGUUGUGAAUAAUGGAACAUGAUGGUGGGAAAAGGAGCAGUGCUAUUUCAGUUGACCGUUUGAUGAAGCCAUUUGAACAUUCAAAGCAGUUAUUUAGCACCGAGAAAGAGAAACACAAGAAUACUCUUUAAACAAUCUGUUGCAGCCCACCCUGUUAAUUAGUACUUUAAUUAAGAUGAGUGUGCAUGAGCUGGGAUCGUUGCCUCUCUCGACACGAACCUGAAGAAGUAACAGGUUUUUAUUUUUACGCACUUUUAAGCUUUCAGGAUUGGAGGAUGCUCGUCCACAAGCCUAAGUAGCGUUUUUUACACACUGCUGAUUCUGCAAAAGCCAAUGAUGUUUUCUUCUUCAAAUAAUUGAUGCAUCGUUGCCUCAUAUAAAAGUUUCAGUCCAAAAUGCAGAAGUUUUGUGAUCACAAAGGCAUCGUUGUUCUCGCACCAAGGCAUAUAAAACAACACACCGUCGCAGUUUGAAGUCCGGGGCCAGUUCGCUUGAGGCUGUUCAGAAAUAUAGAUUACAAAGGCGAUGCCGAGCUGAAGCUUCGCCUUUGGGGCUCUUACAGUUGUAUAUCAGCUUCAACUGCAAAAGCCUAAAAGGGGCAUUAAAUAAUCCCAUUGGUCUCACUGCUGUGAAUGACCAUAAUGUUCUGCAGUGGUUUAAAUGGCUUCUUAAUCAAUACAACCAACGUAUGUGUCCUGCGUUCUCAAGUCAAAGACAACAGUAUAAAGUACAAAGUUGGAUGCUGUAUUUAUAUACGUUUGUAAUUACCUUUGCAUUGUGGAUUCAAGGUUUUGACUGUUGCAUUCUGUGAUGAGGAGUGUCCGGUUGUUGGUAGAUAUAUUGCUGCAUAUAUUUACUUUAUUUGAACAUGAAUAAAUGAAUAUGAAUACAGCAGUAAACAUCUAUUGGCUACGUAAAAAAAUCCCAGAGGAACGUCAACCUGAAUAGACGAUGUCCUCUCCGUCUGCGCGUGUUGUUAUCGGAGCUUAACGUUCCAUAAUCAGGCCUUUAAGGGGACGUCUGUGCACCUUAGCAUCAACAUGCUUUUUACAGUAAAAAACUCAUGUGGGCUCAAGGAUCUUUGUACUCCAUAUUUAUAUUUAAAGUUAUAUAUAAUUGUGUGUAUUUAUUUAGUCUUUCUAACAGAAUGUGAAGGGUUGACAGGACACAGACUCACAAAUGAGUAUCCAAGAUGAUGCAGAAUGCAGGAGCUGGCAGACAUGUCUUCAACACAGCUGGCACAGCUCAAAGGUUAUCCGUAUAUCACAUCCAGAAAUACAUAACGCUGUGUUUGUGUGUUUGACAGCCUGUGUGUUUGUAUCAACAUCCUUAGUGCCGAGUCCAACAAAGGAGGCCUGUUGAGACCUGCAGAAGUCGGUUAGAGGCCGGGAAAAUGAGGACGCCAAGAAAAAGCAUCAGGAGGAUGAGGGAAGGGAGGAAGGUAAACAUUGGGAACGAGAGGGAAAGGAGAGGCCGGCCAGCAGCUUGUGUGGAGAGAUUCUCUCCCAUCGGGCAGCAGGUGCUGACUCAGGACGGAGCGCAGAUGAUUGCUGGCCCAGGUGAGGGUGUAAUUUCCUGUCCGUGGGGGUGUGUGGGCUUCGCACCUGCCGAGAGGCAUCCUGAAACACAGCUGCUCACCCUCAACGAGGCACCGGCCAGUUAGGUAAUAAAGAUGAUAACAGUGCGAAUAAGUCGCACAUGUUUCAUCUGAAGCGCGACGAAACCACCACGCGCUCCGAUUAACUUCAACAAGUGGGCGGGGCGUGAGGACAAGACGGAGGUUGCCAGAUCGAAUGUUUAUAUAGUAAAUAAAAGAGACACGUUGGCCUUUCGGUGAGCAUUAAGCAAAAUGCUUUGAACAGGCGGUGUAUAAGGAACCAGUCUAAAACGUUGGCCUGGAGAGAAAACUAAUGCUUGCGCUUGACCAUUUGAGCAUGAGAGAACGAUCCAGCGACGCCUGCAGAAAUCAAAUAAAAGGAUACUUGAAGCCGAUUAGGCAAAGAGGGGCCUUUCGGUGCUUUUGUCCAAUUAGAAAUGCCUGGAUAACUCACGUCACAAAAACUAGAUUUUUGUUCUCAGUCUGUAAAUUACCUUUUGCAUAUAUUAAUUGGACAUAUGUUACACCACUGCUGUGGUACAGAAUCGCUGACGUAUUAGCCUCAUGAAUUGCUUAUUAUAUUUAGUUCCAUCCAGAAAAUGCUAAUCACCACGCAAUGUUUUACAACAUCUGGAGGAGAAUACCAAAUGGUAUCACUGCACAGCCAACCUUGAUCCGCUUUCACUAGUAUGAAUAUUAAAACCGACACAUCCACAUAAAAUAGUGAUGGUUGAGGUGGGGGGGGCUGCUGGAUGUGGCUUGUGUCAGGAUUGUCAGUGUUGCGCAUUUGGUUACGUUUGUAGGAACAUCAAUAGACAAUGGCCCGAGGUGGGCUUGAAUUAUUCACAGAGUGCCGAGGAGACGUGUGCUUUUCGCUCCACACACAACGCGGCGAAGCAUUAACUUUGAUCAUUUCCCUGUUUCUGGAGAGAAAACAAUUAAAAGAAAUCAAUUAGCACAAAGUCCGUCCGUUGGAUCAACUUGUGUGUGCGCGUUUCAUUGUUGUCGGAGAUGUUGAAUGUGUUUGUUUUCACACCCGCAGUGACCGCCAGAGACUAGCUGGACAAAUGGGACGUUUCAAGAUUCACAGUGCUGACGACACGCGGGGAUGACGCCGUCUUCCUCACACUGUGGCUGUUCUAUUUUUCGCCGACAGCAGAUUGCGUUUGCGUCUGGGUCAGCAUUUUUGUGUUACUACUGCUGGCCGCAUGAAGCCAACAUUUUCUAGCGCUUCAGGCAAAGGAGUGCGUUGUUUGAUCGGCUUCAAAACAGCCCGGUUUUCCUCACACAGAACACGGGAGAAAACGCGGGCAUUUGCACUCACGUCAAUAUCUGACGAAAAACUUUUCCACGGCAGUAAUAUUAAGGCCUCUCUCUCCUCGGGUGAGUUUGAGUACUUUUAAAUUCAAUUCGGUUUUAGCGGCUCUUCAAGUGAGUUCGUUUCUUGAGUUCCUGUUAAUCUUUUGAACCUAACUCACACUCAAAUACACAUGCACUAAACUCCACUUAAAGUCACAAGCAUCCUUGACACACACACACACACACACACACACAAGGAAAAAGGGGGCUGACUGGAGGUAUUGGGGGCUGGAAUGUGUGGAGGGGACAGACUGGGGAUAGAAGAAAAGGCGAGGAGGAGGAGGAGGAGGAGGAGGCUUCACAUCAAGUGGUGCUCCUGCACAGAAGAGGCGGGGAAAGAGUUCAGCGGAGGGUUAAGUGAGGUAAUUGGAACAGGAUGCAGGUGCAGGUGUUUUCUCAGCUUCUCAACUUGGAAGCUCAGACCUGCACACAAACUUGACUGCGGCCUCGUUAAAGCAAAAGCCUGCCUGCGCCAAUUAGCCGGUGAAGGUCAUUGAAGGUCACUGUGUGUUCGAGGGAGAUAAGUUUUCCCAUUAAUGGCCGAGUACCUCUGCUUGACUCUGUGGGGUCUGAGUCGCAACCAGACCUGCACACCGACUUCCCUUAAAAAAGUAGGACAAACAUGGCCAUUGUUUUAUUUAUCGCUGACAAAACAUCUUAUGGUGUACUUCCAUUGCUCUAAACCAUGAUGGAAUUACCGUAUGUUGCUGCACAUUGGAAUAAAUCACCUUUCUAUCCAAUUAAAAAAAAAACAUUACACAAUCGGGGGAGUAGAAAUCUCUUUAAAUGCAGUCGAGCCUGAUUGAUUUUUAUGUUGUCUUCGCAAUGUUCUGCAUUGUUCACAGCCUUUAAUAAAAUAAUGUUAGGAAAUAGCCGAGCAUGAACAUAAUUAGAACAUGCGGCUGGAUUUGAUGUAUAUACACUAAGGUUGUGUUAGGUUAGUACAAUCAGACUUAUCGGUCUCAUGUGUGGAACAAUGUUUCUCAUGCAGAGCUACAAAGUACCACCCAAACCUACACACUAAAAUCUCUCACUCACAAACCCUGUCAUUUCCUCUCUCCGCUGCCAACUAUAUUUACCACCCUCACAAACUCGCUUCACACCAAUCCGGCUGCUCCCCCCUAUAUUUUCGUGUCAUCUCAUGUCUCCCUUCAUCUCUCUCUCUCUGCUACCUUUCAAUGUACAACAAGUCUGCACCAUCUGGUCACUGAGGAGGGAGACAGGAAGGGAGAGCUCCAAUCAAUAGACACUCUGCCUUGUGGCAGAGCUAGAAAUCAAUGGUAGCGGGGAAUUAAGCUGUAGUCUUUGAAUAAAUUGAAGACGCUGGAGCAGGCAACGAAACCACUUGGUGCAAGAAGAGUAAACCUGUUCAGAUUAAAAUGUAAAGGAUGUUUGUUGGGCUUUGCGCUGAGAAUACCUCGAGUCACAAGUACUCUGCCUUAGAGGAGAUACUAAGGCCUUUGUAAUGCUGGUGUCCUGAAAUAAAACGAUAGCAGUGCAUUCACUCUGCAAAGAGGAACAAGCUGAAAGAAUGGAAUGUGCUUUGUAGGAGCAAGAGGGCAUAUUUGGGAUUUGUGCAGAGAAAAGGCUUGAUAGAGAAGACAGCGUUGUGACGGAGCUGCUUCUCACCUCAGCUUGCAAUUCAUAGUUAAAAAAAGAAGAAAGAAAUCUGUUUAUAAAAAGACAACUCCCUUAGGAUUCAUAUUAGUACGAGGGAGGUUCAGCUUGGCAUCUGUUCAAGAGCAGAACAAAAAAAAUGAAAACAUAUUGCAUGCAGUAAAUAUUGACAUGUUAAAUGUGAAGAACAAAGACACAGGUCAAUGAUCUAUUCAGAAAAGCAAAGAAGCGUGAAUGCAAGUUUAAAAGUAUGAAAUACUGUUCACUUAUUAUUUUACUGAUGCAGUAAUGACAGGAAAUGGAGCAUUAAUGAUUUAGGUUGGUAUUUUCUUUUGCUAAUUAAAAGAUAACUGUAACCUACUGAAAGGCGUGAUUAUGAGGACUUUACCCAUCCUCUAAAAGUCUACACCAUAGUCAAUAAUUCAUUCCAACCCUGGCAGUUUAUUCAAAUCAGUGAGCUUUGAAAAACAACAUAAACAAAAAAAAAGGGGGGAACUAGAAAGACAACAAGAGAGAAGGAGAUGGACCAGAAUUAGAAGGAGCACAACAGAGAGACAGACGACGAUGAGACAGAGAAAGAAAGAAAGUCAAAGAGAGGAGCAGACAGCACGUUGAGUGAGACGGAAAGAGUUAGAGAGAGGUAAGCUCUGUUAUUUCUCUGAGGACCUGUGUGAAGUAGCUCAUACUGAGGCCUCUGGCACCACAUCACUCCAACCAGCCUAAUUGCAGUCCGACGGGAGUGGAAAAGCCUUGUACGGACCCGAAGGAUUCCUGCAUAAAAACAGGACCAGAAACCAGCAACCUUGUGUUGCAUAACCAAGUCAAACUUGUGCAGCUUUCAGGGUUUUGAGAAUAUUUUAUACCCUGUAUUUUUUUUAAAGUGGUCCCAUUAAUUACCUUUGGUGGCUAAUAUGGUACAAAGAACUAUGGAUUGAGUUUUGGCCUCAUAGAUGUCAAUUGUUUUAUGGAUGCAAUGGACCUUUGUAUAUUUACUUCUUUUUUAAAUUUAUAAUCCGCUGCAAGCGAUUUCCGUCCCUGUGAAUAUUCCGACAUUUUGUAAGAUAAUCACCAGUCAGAGUCAUACAUUUUCACAGCACCACGAACCGCUACCCUGAAAAAACUCUUGUUUUCAGUCUGUUGUUUUUGCUGGUGACAACUGCAAAAGCCAUUUCCUCGAAUGUGAUGCAAAUGAUUGGGACAUCCUUCCUGCGUGAUGAUCCUGGCGCCCCGGAGAGACCAAAGGUUGCCAUCUGGAGGAAAAGCGAUGGGUUUGGCUUUGAGACAGGGAGAAAGGGCUGGAGGGUAAGAGUCGGAUACGAAGCAGAAUGGCUAAGAUAUCACUCCAGUUACUCUGUAUUCAUUACUGUCAUCCCCCCACAUACAGACAUCUGUGACCUGUGGGCUGGUGGUCGCCAGCCAAGGUCUGCCUCAUGUGCUAUGAUGGAUGGCGAGGGGCGCGGUUGGGUGUCUGACUGAGUGGAGGUGUCUGAGAGGGGGGAGUGGAGCCAUGGUGCACAAGCAUGGGUUGGUGUCUUCUUUUCUCAUUUACAGAAUGACGAGCCAAUACAGGUCCAUCACUACGCGUGCAGCUCCGUGCCGUCAACAUCUGUGAGACCGAGGUCAGCGCGCCGACCAGCUGGGGUGUUUACGAGGUGCGACGUUUGAGACCAUGGAACGCUUUUCUGUAAAAAAAUCAUGUAGCAGAUGCCUGGAGUUAUCUAACAUCCAUUAUGAGCUCCUCUCCGCCCACAGUAUGAUACGAUUUGGAAAAAUGUGAGACAGUGGGUGUGAAGAACGGAAGAGGGGGGCGUGAGGGGGGGUCUGAGACAGGGCCAUGUGGAAGAGAAAAUAAACCCUUUUCUGAUUUUACACGCACAUCUAAACUCGACGUUCACAGAGGCAGAGGCCCUGUUUUUUUGUCCCGCAUAAUGAAACUCAAGCCAGUUGAGCCUGGCUGCUCUUUUUUGCCAAUUUUAAGGUAACUACAGUGAAAUAAACGACCUCUGACAUCUGCAUGAGUUUUCAUUUCGUUGGUAGCUCACGGCUCCAGAAAGCAACCCGAUAACCCUCCAACACCGACUUCUGAGGUCAGCGGGUGAACUAAACUAAACUGAAGUGUUUGAAGUGAGCGCAUUCCCAGGAUACUUUAGAGACUGUGGUAGAACAAAUAUCUGUAAUUUAUUAAUAAAGAAAGCUAAUCACUUGA